GCCCAUGUGCGAGGGGAUUUGCUGCCCAAUCUCCGCAUGACCCGACCGCGUCUCCUCUCACGUUGUGGAAGUCCCCAGGCCCCCAGCCCCCACGGGACAAACCCUAGCCUCACCAAGCCCCACAGCACGUAGUCCUCCCUCCUCCUCCAUCCUCGUUAGCAGCCGCCGCCAUUCUGCCUCCCUCCUCUCUGUCCUACGACCAUGCUGCCGGGAGGAAGCUAUUGUUCGUGGUGCCAUACCGCAGCCGGGGUGCUGCACAAGAGGCCAGGGGCCGCCGCCACCGCGAGCCAUGGGACGCCCGUCGAUGAGCCUUCGGGCAGGAAGCCCGCAUCGAGCACGCCAUCAACAAGCCGCCAGGACGACCUACUGGCCGGUCCCGCGUCGUCGAGCAAGGGCCCUGGUUGCACCGUCGUGGAGGAGGCGCACCAUUAAGGAGUAGCAAUGCCGUCGAACUCCCUCUUCCCUUCUGGCUGCACCUUCCCUAUGAGCUUUUCUUCCAUUCCCUUGCUUUGCCUCUCCUCCUGCUCACUCUCCCUUCCGUGCUCCUCAGCUUUCUUUCGAUUUGCUUGUGCCUGCAGGUCCAUGGACAUUGUUAGAAUGGUUAAUUUAUUCCAGUGUAUUAUUUUCAGUGAUCAUGUUUGUUUAAGACUCCAUGGCAAUUCUCAAGAAUUUCUGUUUUUAGUUGCUUGGCUAAUGUGUUAAAGUGCAUAUGCUCGAGUUUGGUCACUUUUGAUGAUUUUUUCAGUAUGCUAUAAUUUGUUCACUUUUGAGAUUCAAUUAUAUUAGCAUAGUCUUCUCCCGGAGCAGCAAAAUGGAGGACAAAAAUGUCAGCUCUGAUGUGCGUCAGGCUCAACGAUGCCUGCCUCCUUGCCCCUCCCUAAACGACAUGGUCCUCUUCAGUUUGCAGGUUGCCACUUCCUCUGUUCUCAUUGAUUUUCUUCGAACGGUGUACUGAUCCACACUGAAUGUGUAUGAAAAUGUUUUUGCUGGGGCAUUUGUGCACCAAGCAAAUGGGUAAGGAAAUUGGAGAACUGGGAUCUAACAUUGUUAGUCAAGUGUCUAGGUGAACAAUUUGUGGCCAGCAUGGAAAAGACAUCUCGUGAAAAUCUAGUAGAAGCGUCACUCUAGAAACUCCUCCAACAUGCUGAGAAGAGUUGGUUCUCAUCUCAAAGACGCUGAAAUCAAAAUUGUGGAGGUUCAGAAGGUAAAGCAAUCACCAUUACCCAGGGAGGGAUGCCGCAUCAAUCAGAUGCUAACCUUCUUCACAAACUCAUCACCGAAACUGUAGAUUGAUCAGGUUCACCUGCUCUACAUAGGUAGAUGGAGUUAAGGCAUUUCUCUUCAAAUUACUAAACUGAAUAAUAGUAAUCUCUACCUGUAGAGAUUAUCUCUAGAUACUGGUCGUAUUUUAAGAUCCUGGAUGAAAGGUUGUUCAAUUCUAUCAAGAUUCUUUAGUGAUCUAAUAUUUGAGCACGUAGAAUCUGAUUGUUUAUUUUCCUUAUGUUAUAGUUGUAAAAUACUAAUGGGUAGUUUCUGAAUAUUUUGUUUGUAGUCUCCACUCAUGUGAAAUUGCUCAUUCAAUUAUCUUCUAUGUAUAUGUUGCAGGUUACAAACAGUAUGGUAUCUUUUCUGCUAUGGGUGCUUUGACAAAUAAAAUGCAAUGUCGCUUUUGAUGUUGAGAGAAUAUCCAAUUGAGCAUCUUUCCGCAAUAAAAAUUAGACAGGAAGGGUAUGAGGGAGGGGUGUAUUAAAUCCAUAUGAGUGGAUGUUAAAUCCAUGGAUGAAGAAACAAAUAGAAAGGAAGUAAAUCAUAGGAAGAAGAGAUAGGUAGGUUUUACAAGUACAAGUGAAGGCCAGUUGGCUGGAGCAAAACCAAUAUGUUGCUUCACCGAGCUACUGAGAAAGGAGAAGAAAAAAGAGAAAGCUGACUCAUUAUGUGUUCAGGCCUCUUGACAUUCUCCUCUAAUUGGGCCUAAUCCUGUUAAGCCUUCAUGAGCCAAGUAUGGUGGAUUCUUAGAUGACAACUUGAUAUGUAGUUCUCCUAUUACAGUGCUUCGAUCAGUUAAUACUCCCUCUGUUGUGAAGUUUAUGUGAAGUGUGUUCGUGCCAUUAAAGAAUUUAUUAUUUCUA